rnacentral:rRNA from 1 species
GUGGGGAAUAUUGGACAAUGGGGGGAACCCUGAUCCAGCCAUGCCGCGUGUGUGAAGAAGGCCUUUUGGUUGUAAAGCACUUUAAGCGAGGAGGAGGCUACCGAGAUUAAUACUCUUGGAUAGUGGACGUUACUCGCAGAAUAAGCACCGGCUAACUCUGUUCCAGCAGCCGCGGUAAUACAGAGGGUGCAAGCGUUAAUCGGAUUUACUGGGCGUAAAGCGCGCGUAGGUGGCCAAUUAAGUCAAAUGUGAAAUCCCCGAGCUUAACUUGGGACGUGCAUUCGAUACUGGUUGGCUAGAGUAUGGGAGAGGAUGGUAGAAUUCCAGGUGUAGCGGUGAAAUGCGUAGAGAUCUGGAGGAAUACCGAUGGCGAAGGCAGCCAUCUGGCCUAAUACUGACACUGAGGUGCGAAAGCAUGGGGAGCAAACAGGAUUAGAAACCCGUGUAGUCC